AGAGUUUGAUCCUGGCUCAGAUUGAACGCUGGCGGCAGGCCUAACACAUGCAAGUCGAACGGUAGCACAGAGGAGCUUGCUCCUUGGGUGACGAGUGGCGGACGGGUGAGUAAUGUCUGGGAAACUGCCCGAUGGAGGGGGAUAACUACUGGAAACGGUAGCUAAUACCGCAUAACGUCGCAAGACCAAAGAGGGGGACCUUCGGGCCUCUUGCCAUCGGAUGUGCCCAGAUGGGAUUAGCUUGUUGGUGGGGUAAAGGCCUACCAAGGCGAUGAUCGAUAGCUGGUCUGAGAGGAUGAUCAGCCAUACUGGGACUGAGACACGGCCCAGACUCCUACGGGAGGCAGCAGUGGGGAAUAUUGCACAAUGGGCGCAAGCCUGAUGCAGCCAUGCCGCGUGUAUGAAGAAGGCCUUCGGGUUGUAAAGUACUUUCAGCGAGGAGGAAGGCGUUGUGGUUAAUAACCGCAGCGAUUGACGUUACUCGCAGAAGAAGCACCGGCUAACUCCGUGCCAGCAGCCGCGGUAAUAC
rnacentral:rRNA from 1 species